GAUGAACGCUAGCUACAGGCUUAACACAUGCAAGUCGAGGGGAAACGACAUCGAAAGCUUGCUUUUGAUGGGCGUCGACCGGCGCACGGGUGAGUAACGCGUAUCCAACCUGCCCAUCACUUGGGAAUAACCUUGCGAAAGUAAGACUAAUACCCAAUGAUAUCCCACGAAGGCAUCGGAAUGGGAUUAAAGAUUUUUCGGUGAUGGAUGGGGAUGCGUCUGAUUAGCUUGUUGGCGGGGUAACGGCCCACCAAGGCAACGAUCAGUAGGGGUUCUGAGAGGAAGGUCCCCCACAUUGGAACUGAGACACGGUCCAAACUCCUACGGGAGGCAGCAGUGAGGAAUAUUGGUCAAUGGGCGAGAGCCUGAACCAGCCAAGUAGCGUGCAGGAAGACGGCCCUAUGGGUUGUAAACUGCUUUUAUAAGGGAAUAAAGUGGGUCACGUGUGACUUUUUGCAUGUACCUUAUGAAUAAGGACCGGCUAAUUCCGUG
rnacentral:rRNA from 1 species